rnacentral:rRNA from 1 species
AGUGAACGCUGGCGGUAGGCCUAACACAUGCAAGUCGAACGGCAGCACAGUAAGAGCUUGCUCUUACGGGUGGCGAGUGGCGGACGGGUGAGGAAUACAUCGGAAUCUACUUUUUCGUGGGGGAUAACGUAGGGAAACUUACGCUAAUACCGCAUACGACCUACGGGUGAAAGCAGGGGAUCUUCGGACCUUGCGCGAUUGAAUGAGCCGAUGUCGGAUUAGCUAGUUGGCGGGGUAAAGGCCCACCAAGGCGACGAUCCGUAGCUGGUCUGAGAGGAUGAUCAGCCACACUAGAACUGAGACACGGUCCAGACUCCUACGGGAGGCAGCAGUGGGGAAUAUUGGACAAUAGGCGCAAGCCUGAUCCAGCCAUACCGCGUGGGUGAAGAAGGCCUUCGGGUUGUAAAGCCCUUUUGUUGGGAAAGAAAAGCAGCAGGUUAAUACCCCGCUGUUCUGACGGUACCCAAAGAAUAAGCACCGGCUAACUUCGUG